UACGUAGGGUGCAAGCGUUGUCCGGAAUUAUUGGGCGUAAAGAGCUCGUAGGCGGUCUGUCGCGUCGGCUGUGAAAACUCGGGGCUCAACUCCGAGCUUGCAGUCGAUACGGGCAGGCUAGAGUUCGGCAGGGGAGACUGGAAUUCCUGGUGUAGCGGUGAAAUGCGCAGAUAUCAGGAGGAACACCCGUGGCGAAGGCGGCACUCUGGGACGGUACUGACGCUGAGACGCGAAAGCGUGGGGAGCAAACAGG
rnacentral:rRNA from 1 species